CUUGAGGAACAUGACAACAACAACUGUGUUGAUCAAGAUACUGCAUCAACAGAGACAACACCAACUACAGAGAAGGUGAUGCAUCAAGAACAAGUCUCAGAGCAGGUGAAGAUGGCAGAAACAGCAGAAGUGAAACCGGCAGAAGAAACAGAAACCACACCAAUGGUUCAAACAGAAGUGAAACUGGAAGAGGAAACGGAGACCACACCAGUUGCUGAAACAACAGAAGUGAAGCCGGCAGAAGAAACAGAGACCUCAACAGUGGCUGAAACUUUACAGGUGAAACCAGCCGAAGAAACGGAUACCACAUCCAUGGCUGAAACAGCAGAACUGAAGCUGGCAGAAGAAACAGAGACUGCAUCAAUGGCUGAAACAGCAGAAGUGAAACUCGCAGAAGAAACAGAGACCAUACCAAUGGCAGAAACAGCAGAAGUGAAACUAGCAGAAGAAAAAGUCAUGAAGAAAAAUGAGUUUGAACAUGAGGAAGAGAAUUCUAAGGAAGAAUAUGUUAAACCGGUCAAUUCAC
rnacentral:lncRNA from 1 species